rnacentral:rRNA from 1 species
GAUGAACGCUGGCGGCGUGCCUAAUACAUGCAAGUCGAGCGAACAGACGAGGAGCUUGCUCCUCUGACGUUAGCGGCGGACGGGUGAGUAACACGUGGAUAACCUACCUAUAAGACUGGGAUAACUUCGGGAAACCGGAGCUAAUACCGGAUAAUAUAUUGAACCGCAUGGUUCAAUAGUGAAAGACGGUUUUGCUGUAACUUAUAGAUGGAUACGCGCUGCAUUAGCUAGUUGGUAAGGUAACGGCUUACCAAGGCAACGAUGCGUAGCCGACCUGAGAGGGUGAUCGGCCACACUGGAACUGAGACACGGUCCAGAGUCCUACGGGAGGCAGCAGUAGGGAACCUGCGGCAAUGGGCGAAAGCCUGACGGAGCAACGCCGCGCGAGUGAUGAAGGUCUUCGGAUCGUAAAACCCUGUUAUUAGGGAAGAACAAAUGUGUAAGUAACUGUGCACUUCUUGACGGUACCUAAUCAGAAAGCCACGGCUAACUACGUG